GCUAACUGCCCAGCCCCUCCAAUACCCCAUGUAAAAAUUAAACAACAAUUUUAUAAUAAAACAUUCUAUAACCUAGUAAAGGCGAUUAAAAAGUAUGUAGGAGCCUUAACACCAGUACCGCAAGGGAAACGUGAAAUAAAAUGAAACAACCCAAAGCACUAUAAAGUAAAGACUAACCCUUGUACCUUUUGCAUCAUGAUCUAACUAGUACAAUCAAGCAAAAUGAACUUUAAGUUUGACACCCCGAAACUAGACGAGCUACUUCAAAACAGCCUCAUGGGCUAACCCGUCCCUGUUGCAAAAGAGUGGGAAGAUUUUCAAGUAGAGGUGACAAGCCUACCGAGCCUAGAGAUAGCUGGUUAUUCAGGAAAAGGAUAUAAGUCCAACCUUAAAUCUCUAUAUACUCUCAAAUACAACCCAGAUUUAAGUUUCACUCAAAUAGGGUACAGCCUAUUUGAAACAGGAUACAACCUACAACAGAGGGUAAUGUCCUUCACGUGUGACAAAGUGGGCUUAAUAGCAGCCACCUUUUAAAAAGCGUUACAGCCUUAUCACAUUCAUCACUAAUUCAACCCUAAACCCAAAACCCAUCACCCAUACUGAAUGACUCCAUACAAUUAUGGAAGACCUUAUGUUAGAACUAGUAAUAAGAACAAGUAUUCUCCAAAACGUAAGUGUAAGCCGGGUUGAACUACUCACCGGCAUUCACCGCCAAUGAACCUAAAGUAACAACAUCACAAGAAAACCUUACUCAUUCAUGCGUUAACCUUACACCAGAGCUUUUUCGGAAAGAUUACAAGAGGAGGAAGGAACUCGGCAAAUUCUAACCCCGCCUGUUUACCAAAAACACCGCCUUCUGCAACCAAUAGAAGGUCCAGCCUGCCCAGUGAGUGGAAACUUUAACGGCCGUGGUACCAUAACCACGCAAAGGUAGCACAAUCACUUGUUCUUUAAAUAAGGACUAGUAUGAACGGCACCACGAGGGUUUUACUGUCUCCCCCCUCUAAUCAAUGAAACUAAUCUCCCCGUGAAGAAGCGGGGAUAAACCUAUAAGACGAGAAGACCCCAUGGAGCUUUAAACUAAGUAUCACUUGCACGCUACAUACACCCCCUCAGCCUAGCAAGCUCUUUUACUAGUUUUCGGUUGGGACGACCAUGGAGAAAAACAAAACCCCCAUGACGAAAAGAACUACUUCCUAAUCAAAGAACCACAACUCGCAGAAUCAGAACACUGACUAAAUUGACCCAAUUCGUUGAGCAACGGACCAAGUUACCCUGGGGAUAACAGCGCAAUCCAUUUCAAGAGCUCCUAUCGACAAAUGGGUUUACGACCUCGAUGUUGGAUCAGGGUAUCCCAGUGGUGCAGCCGCUACUGAAGGUUCGUUUGUUCAAC
rnacentral:rRNA from 1 species